rnacentral:rRNA from 1 species
AUUGAACGCUGGCGGCAGGCUUAACACAUGCAAGUCGAGCGAGCGGCGGACGGGUGAGUAAUGUCUGGGAAACUGCCUGAUGGAGGGGGAUAACUACUGGAAACGGUAGCUAAUACCGCAAACCAUCAGAUGUGCCCAGAUGGGAUGAGAUAGUAGGUGGGGUAAUGGCUCACCUAGGCGACGAUCCCUAGCGGGUUUGAGAGGAGGACCAGCCACACUGGAACGGAGACACGGUCAAGACUCUUACGGGAGGCAGCAGUGGGGAAUAUUGCAAAAUGGGCGCAAGCCGGAUGCAGCAAUGCCGCGGGUGUGAAGAAGGCCUUCGGGUUGUAAAGCACGUUCAGCGAGGAGGCGUUACCCGCAGAAGAAGCACCGGCUAACUACGUGCCAGCAGCCGCGGUAAUAC